AAGCUGUGAUGAUAAUUGGCUAUAGCGAUGGUUGGGUCCUUCGCAAUCUUCCGUUCAAUGGAUGACAUUCGCCACUGCCUGAGCUC